GUUUCAAAUAAUAAUAUUGUUUUUCCACUACUAGCUAUGAAGUUGACAAUUAUUGUGGCUCCUAGCCAGCUGAGAAGUUGAAUUCCUCUAUUAGUGGUUAAGUGGUUAAUAAUUGUUUCUAUUGUUAACCUAGGUUAAACAAAUUUUUUGUGAAUCCAGGGAUAGUUGUAUAACAAAAACUUGUGCAACGUAAUUUUGUGUAGCCAGGAGAUUGUCUUUAACGUAUUUGCUGCUUGAAAUUACCUAACACGAUAAAUUUAUUUGUAUCAAAUCGCCAUUAGUUUAAAAUUUGCGCUUCACCAAUGAGUGAUGAAACCUCGUAACUACAACAUGGCGGAAUGCAGGAGCUUUUAUUAUUUUAGAGGACUAUCGAAAAAACAGAACUUUAUUUAAACAAUGAACACAAAUUUUUGUUUCCCAAUGCAAUUGUGAAAAUCCACAUUGCCAGUGUGGCCAAGUGGAAGAAACUGUUCAACAUCUUGUUGAAAAAUGCCAAAUUACAAGUUUUCAAGGAGGCUUCAAUGAAAUCCAUCAACUAUCGCCCGAAACUAAAAGUUGGUUAUCUACCAUAAAAGUUUUAUGAUUUCUUCUAUAUACAAUUAUUAUUAUCCUUUUUUUUUCUGUCUAUAUAUAUAUAUAGCGUUUGUUGCACCCGAUGUGUUAGUUAGAGCUGUGGUUAGUAAAUUGAUAACCGUAUUAUGUAGAGUAAUUGAUAUCAUUAGGUGGAACUGUUAGCGGUGAAGAUGAGGUUGAUAAAGCCACAAAAGUUGAAGAUGUUGGAGUCGCAAUAAUUGUUAACUUCACAGCUAGUAGUGGAACAAAUACACCACGGUGGCGAAGAGAUUUAUCGGCCUCGCAUAUAAUAAUAAUAGUAUUUGCCACAUUAGUGUAUAAUAUACUAUUUUUUUUAAUAAGGAAGUGUACCUUCAUCCACUCCCAUCUCUAUCUCAAUGUCGGGUGACAAUGAGAGACUUACUUAUUCAUCAUAAUUAAAACAUAUAAGGGCGGGUGAAGGAAAAGUUCUUUCAUUAAUAUUUAUUAUCCACAAUCACAUUAUAAUUGGAGUUUUAUCCACACUUAUGAAGCAUAUAAAGUGACCUAUUAUCCACCAGUGGAAUAAUAGCAUAUUAAAGAACAAGUUUUAUAAGGGUUGAUUUGGAGCACGAAUUUCAACUCGCCUACGGCUGCACCAAAACCCUUAUAAAACAAGUAAUUUUGUGUCAGUUGGUACCGGUAAUAAAUAAUAAAGAAGAAAUGAUGAUUAAAUCGAUCGUACGUGUAUUCCACGCAUUAUUGAUGAAUCUCUUGAAAAUGAAAUAUCCCUAAAUUCAUUAAAGUACACUGUACUUUAAUGAGCCAUAAACGACUCCUACUGAUAGAAGUUAAUAAACGCAUAGUAUAAAAAGUAACUUUAUCCCACUUUUGCCAAAACAACUAGUAAUUAUAACUAGCAGACAAAGCCUGCCAAAAUUCAUUUUACGAAUACAAAUAUUUUUAAUUAACUUCGAUUAAUUCCAUUUUGUUAAUAUGGUGAUUGUGGAUAAAACGUUGUAUUGUGUUUUAGUCGAAUAUUUUGUC